ACAGUUGAUGAAAAAAGCGGUACAGAUGGUUUUGUGAUGGUACACAUAAGGUACAGUAACUAUUCGGAUGGGUACACUUAAAUGACUUUAAAGAUUAUUUUGUUUUUAUUCAUUAGUUAUAGUCGUUUAUCACUCCAAAACAAUAGUAAUUUAGUAAACUAUGUGGUACACUUUCGAAUGGUUUUCGGUACAGUGAAGUUUGGUACAGUAAAUAUACAUAUUCAACACGAAAAAAUAUUUUCACGUGCGGACAUUUGAGUAGUCAUCCGGUGGGAAGUACAGUUUUGAAGAAAAAUCCCGAUUUACCCGAAGGUCAUUUCUUGCGAGGAUGGUUCGACAAUGUCGGUGGACGUGAAAUUCGCAACAGCAUUUCGGCAUUAGUUUUUAAUACCGAAUGGUUGACAUUCCAUGAAGCCAAAUUGAAGAAUCUUGGAAAUGGUGACAAACCCGAUUACUUUCAAAUUAAAGGCACAAUCAAUGUGAUUCGCAAUCAAAAUCUUGUCUACAAGGCUUGUACACUAGAUCAAUGCAAGAAAAAAGUCGAAGAGAAAGGCAACGGCUAGUAUUUUUGCGCUAGUUGCAAUUUUGAAUCGGCAAAUUUCAAGUAUCGUAUGCUUGUUAACAUGAGCAUUGCCGAUUGGACAUCGAAUCGUUGGGCAACAGUAUUUGCGGACGAUGCUGAAAAACUGCUGGGCAAAAGCUGCGAUGAAAUUGGAAUGAUGGCAGAACGUGACCAAACCGAAUUGAAUACUUAUCUUCGAGCUCAACACUUCCGGUCGUUUAUGUUCUAGUUUCAUAAGUACACGUACAAGAACGAUCAGAAAAACACGGACAACGUCAUUUUUAUUUCAUAUUUCAUAUAUAUGGUUCAUUCGAAAGCACCAUAUAAAAAAGAACAGGAAAAACUUAUAAAUUCAAUUCUCAGAUAGAAAUCUAUCGUUAAUAACAGCUAUUUCUGAAUAGUUUAUCUCCCUUUCUUUAAGUAAUCA